UUUAACAAAGAAUGGAAUGGUGUAGGUAAGCCUUGCCAGUCCCGGGUUCCUGUAUCAGAGCAAGCCCUUUAAAAUGAAGCAGAAACUCCGUUUCCGUCAGAGAGGCUUCCCACAGAAAAAGCUCAUUUUCACAGGUUUUAAUCCACUGGUAGAGACGCCGCUACUGCAGUUUGUUACAGAAGCCAACUCUCCUGCUUCCAAUCCCCCUCUAUUUGACUGGCAUUCCCACACCACCACCCAGCCCAGCAGGCGCUCUGUUCUCCAGCGGAGGAAACACUGGCUUGUAUUUGUUAACGGGGAGAAGAACCAUGGAUGAGCUCCACCUGCCAUGUGAAAUCUUUGAUUUUUAGAUGAAAAUGUACAGCUGACUGCUGGCAUAUUCACUGCAUCAGCUCUCCAAAGGUUGGCUUGCUGCUUAGAAUUCAUGGGGAGCAGCCCUGUCUGUCUUUGUAGGAAUUUUGGCUGCACGACUGAGUACAUGAAAAUCAGGGAAGCCAGAAGAAAAGAAUGAUCUGUUACCUGAGUUUCUUUUGCCAUUUGAAAUCCACUGAAAGAGAAGCAUCUUUGUAGCACAAGCUGUUGGCAACUCCUCUCUCCAGAGCACAUCAUCAGUCCCAAGCUUGCAGUCUUUUAUUCUUUUAAUUUUAAUUGGUAGCUCCUGCCUAGAAACCAGUUGGGAAUUGAAUUGCUUGUGCAUUCCCCAUGCUCCGGAGCAAUUGCCUAUAUAUUCCGUGUGCCUCCAAGCAGUUGCCAGCCUGCUCCUCGUGCUUCCUAGUAAAUGCCAGUAAUCUGUGCACUGGUAUGUAAAACUUACAGUACUUGAUUAUGUCAGGAGAGAGAACAGCACAAAAUACAGUGUGUGCUGCUAUUUUCACCUUAGCAUGUGUGCUGUUUUCCAGUCUUCAGCCACAGCACUGUGAGCAGCUCAGCUGGAGGAUGGACAAAGAAUCCUCAGCCCUGGAUUUGUACAAAUUUAUGGGUGGCCCAAGGGAUGCCCUGAAAUUCUUCUCUCUCCCAUCUUAUAUCUUGCCUGCCCAUCCUAUUCGUGUUGACAUAAAAGUAGCUUUGCACUGGCACCAGGAUUAAUGUCUCCAGAUGUUUAUUUGCUGCAUAUCCGCUGUUUCCUUGUGAAGCUGAAUAGUCUCAGCUUC